UACGUAGGCAGCAAGCGUUGUUCGGAUUUACUGGGCGUAAAGGGUGUGUAGGCGGUUGUUUAAGUUUGGUGUGAAAUCUCCCGGCUCAACUGGGAGGGUGCGCCGAAUACUGAAUGACUAGAGUGCGGGAGAGGAAAGUGGAAUUCCUGGUGUAGCGGUGAAAUGCGUAGAGAUCAUGAGGAAGACCAGUGGCGAAGGCGGGUCUCUGGACAGUUCCUGACACUGAGGCACGAAGGCCAGGGGAGCAAACGGG
rnacentral:rRNA from 1 species